CACAAAAAAAAAAAACAAAAUAAAAAAAAAUGUUGUCACCGUUUUGUUGUCCCAGAAUAAAAAACGAUUUGAUCGGGAAAAGGUUGGAACAAAUUGGAAUUCUCAACAACCCGGACUUUAUAACAUCAACAAGGAAGCGAUGAGAACGUGGAAGCCUGGUGCCGUCGGUGCAGCAGACACCCCAAUGUGCGGUCAAACUACUGUCCACAGCUAUUGUUGCUCUUGCUGUAAAACCGGACCAACGUAAUAGCCAUUCAUCUUCUGCAAGGAAAAAUGAAGUGCCAUCGGAAGUCUAUCCAAGCGCCAAUUCCUACUAAACCGCUGAGAGUGGAAUCGAUAAGCAUUUUCCGAAGUUCCGCUCCUUGAUGUGCUGAGCGGCAACGGGCAGACGACGACAACGCAUAGAAUCUUCCCGGGAAAGAGAGAGAUGGAUUCUUGCAAGUUGCGUGGUAGGGCGAGCUCUAAAAAAACAAAUAUUAGGGGAGAUUUUCAGCAUUGCAUUCAGGAGGACAACUAACUAUGAAUUAUUUUAUCUAUUUAAAUUAUUCCCAUUAUUAAGUCUUUGCGCAAUAGCUAAAUAUAAAGGGAUAAGUUUCACAAAAUAUGU